UACGAAGGGGGCUAGCGUUGCUCGGAAUCACUGGGUGUAAAGCGCACGUAGGCGGGUCCUUAAGUCAGGGAUGAAAUCCUGGAGCUCAACUCCAGAACUGCCUUUGAUACUGAGGAUCUCGAGUUCGGGAGAGGUGAGUGGAACUGCGAGUGUAGAGGUGAAAUUCGUAGAUAUUCGCAAGAACACCAGUGGCGAAGGCGGCUCACUGGCCCGAUACCUGACGCUGAGGUGCGAAAGCGUGGGGAGCAA
rnacentral:rRNA from 1 species